GGAGACGUGGUGUAGCGGUUAACAUAUUGCCCUGUCAAGGCAAAGAUCGCGGGUUCGAACCCCGUCGUCUCCG
rnacentral:tRNA from 1 species